rnacentral:rRNA from 1 species
AACGCGAAGAACCUUACCUGGUCUUGACAUCCACGGAAGUUUUCAGAGAUGAGAAUGUGCCUUCGGGAACCGUGAGACAGGUGCUGCAUGGCUGUCGUCAGCUCGUGUUGUGAAAUGUUGGGUUAAGUCCCGCAACGAGCGCAACCCUUAUCCUUUGUUGCCAGCGGUCCGGCCGGGAGCUCAAAGGAGACUGCCAGUGAUAAACUGGAGGAAGGUGGGGAUGACGUCAAGUCAUCAUGGCCCUUACGGCCAGGGCUACGCACGUGCUACAAUGGUCGGUACAAAGGGUUGCUACACAGCGAUGUGAUGCUAAUCUCAAAAAGCCGAUCGUAGUCCGGAUUGGAGUCUGCAACUCGACUCCAUGAAGUCGGAAUCGCUAGUAAUCGUGGAUCAGAAUGCCACGGUGAAUACGUUCCCGGGUCUUGUACACACGC